CUUGGCCAAACAACGCGGAUUGCAGUUCAUUUCAAAGAGAAUGAUGGCUCAGAAUGCCCCAGGUGAGAGGAUGAGAUGAGUUUGUGAUUUAAAAAUGCUGUGACUCUAAAAAGAAAAUUUUUAAAGUUAAAAGCACCAUGCUAGUUUCCUCCCUGCUCCCAGAUCAUUAGAGUGUCACAUAAUUUGAAGCCCUGCUACAUGAUGAUCCUGCUGUCUUCAUCCUCCUACCCACAACCCAAGUUUUGCUACUGUUCCUGAUUCAUUUCAUUGUGAUAAGAAAAGCUGCUUGGUUUUGGUAUCAGGAUGAUGCUGGCAUCAUAAAAUGAGUAUUUUUCUUCAGACUUCAGACUGCUGUGCUGGAAGCAAGAAUUUCAAGCAUUGGAUCUUAGCUUGCUGGGCUCCAUAGGGGUGGGAUCCACUGAGCUAGACCACUUGGCUCCCUGGCUUCAGCCCCCUUCCAGAUUCAAACUAAUGGUGUCUCACCAACACAUGGCAUGAGAACACCUGUAGCAAUCUGUUUGACAGUCAUUCACGAGCAACUUAGAAUUGCAAGAAAGAUGUCCUU
ensembl:lncRNA novel transcript